UGGUGCAGUGGUUAAGCGCUUGGCUGCUAACCAAGAGGUCGGUGGUUUGAAUCCACC
rnacentral:tRNA from 1 species